UAGCCUAGUGGUUGAGGCUAUGGAUCGCCAAUCCGGAGACAGCGGGUUCGAUUCCCGU
rfam:Aedes albopictus isolate Foshan contig10397, whole genome shotgun sequence.